rnacentral:rRNA from 1 species
AGUGAACGCUGGCGGUAGGCCUAACACAUGCAAGUCGAACGGCAGCACAGUAAGAGCUUGCUCUUACGGGUGGCGAGUGGCGGACGGGUGAGGAAUACAUCGGAAUCUACUUUUUCGUGGGGGAUAACGUAGGGAAACUUACGCUAAUACCGCAUACGACCUACGGGUGAAAGCAGGGGAUCUUCGGACCUUGCGCGAUUGAAUGAGCCGAUGUCGGAUUAGCUAGUUGGCGGGGUAAAGGCCCACCAAGGCGACGAUCCGUAGCUGGUCUGAGAGGAUGAUCGGCCACACUGGAACUGAGACACGGUCCAGACUCCUACGGGAGGCAGCAGUGGGGAAUAUUGGACAAUGGGCGCAAGCCUGAUCCAGCCAUACCGCGUGGGUGAAGAAGGCCUUCGGGUUGUAAAGCCCUUUUGUUGGGAAAGAAAAGCAGCAGGUUAAUACCCAGCUGUUCUGACGGUACCCAAAGAAUAAGCACCGGCUAACUUCGUG